rnacentral:rRNA from 1 species
GACGAACGCUGGCGGCGUGCCUAAUACAUGCAAGUCGAGCGGACAGAUAAGGAGCUUGCUCCUUUGACGUUAGCGGCGGACGGGUGAGUACACGUGGGCAACCUACCCUAUAGUUUGGGAUAACUCCGGGAAACCGGGGCUAAUACCGAAUAAUCUUUUGUCUCUCAUGAGACAAUUCUGAAAGACGGUUUCGGCUGUCGCUAUAGGAUGGGCCCGCGGCGCAUUAGCUAGUUGGUGAGGUAACGGCUCACCAAGGCAACGAUGCGUAGCCGACCUGAGAGGGUGAUCGGCCACACUGGGACUGAGACACGGCCCAGACUCCUACGGGAGGCAGCAGUAGGGAAUCUUCCACAAUGGGCGAAAGCCUGAUGGAGCAACGCCGCGUGAGUGAAGAAGGAUUUCGGUUCGUAAAACUCUGUUGUAAGGGAAGAACAAGUACAGUAGUAACUGGCUGUACCUUGACGGUACCUUAUUAGAAAGCCACGGCUAACUACGUGCCAGCCGCCGCGGUAAAAC